rnacentral:lncRNA from 1 species
CAGUUAUACAAGUAAUGCCAGCCCUCAUUCACAUGUGUUGAAACACCAUCCUUCUCCAGAACCUUUAAAGCACAGUUUUUGGGUUUGUUCUUUUUGCAUUAUUAUCACUAAAGUAUGUCUUAAAACAAUUUUUGGAUUCUAGCUCAUAGUAUUUCCAGCUAAACUGGCAGAGAUCAAAGGAGCUGGAAUUAAUUCAGUGAAGCAGAAUGAAUGCAAGUGAGAAGGAGCCACAUGAGAUGCUGCUGCUGCUGCUGCUACUAAGUCGAUUUGGUCAUGUCCAACUCUUAGCGACCCCAUGGACUGAAGCCUACCAGGCUCCUCUGUCCAUGGGAUUUUCUAGGUAAGAGCACUGGAGUGGGUUGUCAUUGCCUUCUCCAACAUGAGAUGGAGCGUAUCUUAUUCUCCUCUUUAUCUCAUUACUCAGUCUACCCCAUAGAGCAGACUGGUGAAAUAUUGGCUUCCAGUGGCCAGUGUUAAGUAGGAACUGGAGCCACUGCAUUGAAAUAGCAAAGGGUCCAGUUGUUGGAUCUUUUGUAGAUGGCUUAAAUGUUCUUCUCUGUUCCUUGUCUCCCUGCAAAAAGCUCCCCACGGAAAGCUUGCUCCCUUUGGGUGUUCUCUUCCUUUUUUUCCAACUUCAUUGUAGGGGUCCAGUUGAAGUGAGGCAGCAAGCCCCAAACCUUUCUCUAAUUCUCCAAUUGCUAGGAAAUGCUUUGCUUUGAGAGCUAUCGGGAGGCUAUUGAUAAACUAAUACCAUAGUUGGCUCUUGUUAGUUCCUUAACUAU